UACGUAGGGGGCGAGCGUUGUCCGGAAUUAUUGGGCGUAAAGAGCGUGUAGGCGGUUCGGUAAGUCUGCCGUGAAAACCUGGGGCUCAACCCCCGGGCGUGCGGUGGAUACUGCCGGGCUAGAGGGUGGUAGAGGCGAGUGGAAUUCCCGGUGUAGCGGUGAAAUGCGCAGAUAUCGGGGAGGAACACCAGUAGCGAAGGCGGCUCGC
rnacentral:rRNA from 1 species